CUCAGCAAGACCCAGGACAAAUUAAGCCUGCGGCACAGGAGGCAGGAGAGACCUCUGAGAUGUUCCCUCUGUUGAUCCAGCAUUUUACAACUGAUAAGAUUUUUAUUGUCGUAUUUUGUUUUAACAAGUGCUAGGCUCCCUGAGCUGAAAACAACUUCAGACUGAGCAAUAGUUAGUUCAAGAACUUCAAGCCACAGAUACAGAUAUCUGCUCAACAUAGGCUGAAGCUGAAACCCUGGGAUCUAGUUUCAGCAGAAACAGGUGUUGCAGGGCUACGUAGAAUUGGUGUGGCAGGCUCACUACAUGCAGGAGGUUGCAGAAUCAAGCUGCUUACUUACUACACUGCUGCCUUUCCCUCAGAAGCCCAACCAGGAGUAUGGUUUGAAAGUAUGGUCUCUGUAAGAUUAAGAAUUCCAAGCAGCAAAGGAAAAGGCAGCUGUACUCAGGAUCUGGAAAAUGCAGCUGGCAUCUUUAGUUUUUCACAGGUUAUCUCUGGACCUACAUUCACAGCGAUCGAUGUCCUAGACCUGAUUUUCAAACUGGCUGUGGACAUAGAAAAAACAAGAAACACCACCAGUCCUGAACAGACUAUCGUCUCCUUCAGGCUAAGAUCAGAAUCCACCCAAGUCUCCUGGCAAGACAGAGCAGCCCUAUUAACAAGAAGUUCCUGGAUUCAGUCAAAUUCUAAAACAUCCUUGAAUAUUACUUCAAUUCAUCAAAAGGCCGUAAAAAAGACGACCAAGUAGGUCAUUAUGACCAUUCAGUGUUAGUGUCAUCAUUAACCACAACAGCUGAUAUUCUGGCAUUGAAACAUUUGCUCCUUCCUCAAAGUUCCCAAGGGUUUCUAUUGUUUUCUGAUUAUCUCUGACCAAAAAAAGUACAAAGGAAGACAAUGCAUCAGUGACCAAAAACAAACAGAUAUCAACAUGUCCCAGUACAAGGAAUACAAACUUAUGUCCUGGCUAUUGAAGAAACAGAGAAAUCCCACCUUUCUUCCACCACAGCAGCUGCUAAAUCACGUUCCAUUAAACUAUCACAGAUUGUGAAUCCUCCUGUUAACUGAGUACUUCAGCUACUCCCACUGAGACGUAUUAUCAGAGUCCUUCUUGGAGAAAGUAAUCCACAUCAAAUAUUGACUCUUGGAGCCCUAGGAAGCAUACAGCAGGCAUAGGCCUGACGACAGGAUACCCUCUCACUUUGAAUUUUCCCAUUCUUGGCCUAAAGUUGCAACAGGCAGUGAAAAAGUCAACUACUUCCAUCCAAACUCCCUCAUGCCUCUCAAAAAGCAAUGACAGUAAGCAUUUGCAUAUCUGCUUAAAAUGGAUGUACAUAGUAGCAAUUUGCCAAUUUAAAUAUCCUGAUUAGUCAUCUUAAAACAGAAGUCAUUAGCAAAAUACUGUUUGGCUAAUUUCAGAGUAGCAGCCGUGUUAGUCUGUAUCCGCAAAAAGAACAGGAGUACUUGUGGCACCUUAGAGACAAUCAGAUUUAUUUGAGCAUCAGCUUCCGUGGGCUAAAGUCCACUUGACUGUAGCCCACGAAAGCUGAUGCGCAAAUAAAUCUGGUCAUCUCUAAGGUGCCACAAGUACUCCUGUUCUUUUUGUUUGGCUAAUGGCAUUAAACAAAGAUUAGUAUACUGAGUGUAUACUACAUAGAAAGCUGAAUUGGCCAUUAAAGCCUUGCAUUCUGUAAUAUUAAGAUUUAAAAAGAUUUGUGAGGUAAAUUAUUUAUGUAUCAGAAAGAACACAACAAAAAUAUUCAUAUAAAUGAGACCUGUUUACAUUUUCAGUGUUUAGCAUUAAGGAUUAUUACUACAAGCUUAAUGUAUAAUUUCUAUUGAACUUCUGAUGCAGAAGUCCCAGGUACAAGAUUUUAGGAGAGGAGUGACUGGCAACAAGUCUGGCAGACACACUUAGAAUAAAGUUUUCAUGGACAAUAGACUUUGAGAAAUCCUAUCAUGGUGGAAAGGUGACGUAAGGAUGGAUUUGUCUAAUGGUGCCUUGUCCUCACCAUCUUGCAUUGUUCAAGUACGGCAAAGUUUUGAGACAGCCUUUCAGAACAGUGGUUUCAUCCCAGUAAGAUAAAAGAUGUUGAGGUACUGUGACUAGCAAAAAUUGUGCCAUAUUAAUCAUUACACAUUCCUGCAUGAGAAGUUAAACAACUGAAAAUCUGAACUGACAUUAUUAAGGGUGAAAUCAAAUGGAAAUGGUGAUGGGAGUAGAUUUUAUUUCAUAUAUUUUACACCAUUUUAUUCAGUUGUGGAUGGAAAACACAGCAUAGCUACAAAACCAAGAGUAAACUUAAAAAAAAAAAAAAAAAAGUAACAGCAUCAGCUGUUGGCUAUCAGACUAUCCAUUAAUAAUCUUGGCACAUGUCCUGUAGCAUUCUGAAACCCCACUGAAGCACAGUCCACGCUGUUAUAGGCUAAUGAAAACUAGCACAAUAUGUUUAUAAGUAUAAAGACAGACAAACUUUGUUCCCUAUUGUUUAAUAAAUAUACAUAUAAUUACACACACAAGAAAUCUAUGUUAAAAGAAUGUAAUUAAGAUUGUAAAGUCAAGCACUCAAAAGUUAGGAAAUGCUAGAAUUAAGGUUGCCUGUGCUACUUAAUUUGGCCCUAAUUAAAAAACUUGGCAUUAUGAUAUGACCACAUACUAUUUUUUCCCAUAGGACUUCAGGUCCCAGCCUAUGCCCCUCUACAGAUUUUGUUCUCUUCUUCAUUUGAAUCAUGCAGCUUCCUCCUCCAUGUUACCGGAGCCCAGGAGAGGUUAAACUGUUGCCAAUUACAUUUGUACAAUAAGAGCACAGGAAGCACUGUUGAGUGCUUACCUAUGAGCUAAUUUUCAAUAUUUAUUAUAUGGCAUUCUCAAGCAGUUAGUAUACAAGACAAAACUGUUUUUAUCAAAAGUAGUAAGGCACUUUAUUAAAGGGAGAUGCACUUGCUCAAACUGUGAGUCUUUCUUUAAUGAGCUUAGUCAAUGUUAUUGCCCCCUUUCCUCUUUCUUUGACCUGACUUGGUGCCAAGUGGUUUCUGCUAAAUAUUUUCAGGCAAAUUUAGGUUCCUGUUUAUAAAGCAGAUGGUGAAUGAAAAGACCAUUAGCCUGGGUUUUUGAUGAUAGCGUUUUUGUUCUUCUGAGAAUGAAGGGAAAAAAAAAUCAGUGAAUGAAGCUGUAAAGACAACCAAGUUACAAGAGGUACUAUAUCUUGUUAUGAAUAAGCAUGAAAGUGCUAAGAAGAUUGUGUAUUCAUCUUAAUCACCACUGUGGAGAACUUUAAACAUUUCAAAUAUUAGUUUUAGUGACUGUGACAAAACAGCUAACAAUAUAUGAAAGCUCAGUUUGUACAAUCUUAAAAAUAAUGGCCAAAUUCUCUGCUAUAGUGUAGCUGGUUUACAGUACUCUGGGGGCGUAAUCUGGGCUGAGAGCAAAUUUAGCCAAUCAUCUAGAGAAGACCACCUUAGUACAAGGGUGAUACUCCAGUGACACAGAUGCGAUGUAUGGGCACUUAUGUCACACACCCCUCCCUGCAAUCAGUGCACUGUGGAAAAGUAGGCAUGGCAAAAAGAUAGGGGACCUGACUACUAUGCAUCUGAACCACACCAGCCCUUGGCUGUGCUUUGACUUGCAUUUAACUUGCCUUUAUAACCUAGCAUACGUUAGAACUGCCUUCCAGAUGGCCCUGUGCAGAGCAGCAUCAGGGUUGGGAAACUGCAAAUGUGAGCUUUUAAACAACCUUUGUACCUACCUCUACCUGUACUUUAUAUCAGCUGAAGCUUGCUCAUUGUCUUUGUCUGUCCAGGUUAAACGAAAUACCUGAAAAUAUGUUUUCCCUUUUAAGGUGGUUUUGAACCUUCUGGGGCAAAUUCUGUCUAUAUUUAGACCUGCAGAAUUCAUGAUUUAAAGGGGAACAGAAUUUAGCUCUGUGUUUUCAGGAAUGUCCAGAGGAGCUAAAAUUGUAUACUAUCAAAAACAUCAAAAGGCAUGUUUUGUUUUGUUUUUUAAAAAUUGUAAGCCUAAAAUUUACAUUUACGCAUUCAGGUACACUGUCCUGCUCCCACACAAGAAUUUACUGUGUAUAUUCAAAUAGGCUGUAAAUCCACACUAACAUUAAAAAGCCCACCGAAGAGUAGGUGCAUCGAUGAUUCUUAAAAAGUAAUCUGUUUGUGAAGUUUUCCAAAUGGCUAACUUUACAUGACCAAAUAAAAUAAAAAUAAAACAUAAAUAAAUAAAAGUCACAAUAUAAGCCUAUAUAUCACUGAAUAAAACACAACCAGAAUAGACUGAUAUCCCAUAAUGGCUGCUGAAGUGUCAAGUAUGAAUUAUUAAAAUUGAUUGUUAGAAGCUCAGAAGACAAGAUCCCACAUGGACAAGCCGACCCAUGAUACAGUAACAAGUUCAAUUUGGACUUCACUGCUGAACAAGUUUUAGAUGAAUUUAAGAAAAAUUAAUGUACUGAUCUCUCUUGAAGAUCAAACACACAGGUGUCACACUAUAAAUGUAAUGGCAAAAUACCAUCCUAUAUUACUUUUCAAGCACAGGUGAAAUGAACUCAACAUGAACUUAU